UGAGGAACAUGACCUUCGGCGGGGGAGUAGCCGGCCCAACGGCCGGGUAAUACCGCGUACGACCACUCGGGGACAUCCCCGAUUGGUGAAAGCAGCAAUGCGCCGAAAGAGUGCCUCGCGGCCUAUCAGCUAGUUGGUGAGGUAACGGCUCACCAAGGCGACGACGGGUAGCUGGUCUGAGAGGACGACCAGCCACACUGGAACUGAGAUACGGUCCAGACUCCUACGGGAGGCA
rnacentral:rRNA from 1 species